AUUGAACGCUGGCGGCAUGCUUUACACAUGCAAGUCGAACGGCAGCGCGGGCUUCGGCCUGGCGGCGAGUGGCGAACGGGUGAGUAAUACAUCGGAACGUGCCCAGUAGUGGGGGAUAGCUCGGCGAAAGCCGGAUUAAUACCGCAUACGACCUGAGGGUGAAAGCGGGGGAUCUUCGGACCUCGCGCUAUUGGAGCGGCCGAUGGCAGAUUAGCUAGUUGGUGGGGUAAAGGCCUACCAAGGCGACGAUCUGUAGCUGGUCUGAGAGGACGACCAGCCACACUGGGACUGAGACACGGCCCAGACUCCUACGGGAGGCAGCAGUGGGGAAUUUUGGACAAUGGGCUAAAGCCUGAUCCAGCAAUGCCGCGUGUGUGAUGAAGGCCUUCGGGUUGUAAAGCACUUUUGGCGGGAACGAAAGGGACUGUGCCAAUACCACGGUUCGAUGACGGUACCCGCAGAAUAAGCACCGGCUAACUACGUG
rnacentral:rRNA from 1 species